UUCAUAUCAACACACAAUUGUAUUGAAGGAAGGAGUUCUUUGUUCUAAAACCAAAUUAAGAUGAAGAUUAUCAUUUCAAUUUUAAUCAUUAUGCUCGUGUUUUCUGUUGGAAUUGGGCCAAUGAAAGUGAUAGAGGCAAGAAUAUGUAAAGAAAA